ACAUCGCCUCUUGUUAAACCAAAAGUAUAAGAGGUCCCGCCUGCCCUGUGACUAUAUGUUUAACGGCCGCGGUAUUUUGMCCGUGCGAAGGUAGCGCAAUCACUUGUCUUUUAAAUGGGGACCUGUAUGAAUGGCAUAACGAGGGCUUGACUGUCUCCUCUUUCAAGUCAAUGAAAUUGAUCUCCCCGUGCAGAAGCGGGGAUAAGUACAUAAGACGAGAAGACCCUAUGGAGCUUCAGACACUAAAGCAGAUCAACAUUAAUAUCCUAGAUACAGGACACGAAUAAACUGAACCCUGCCCUACUGUCUUAGGUUGGGGCGACCGCGGAGAAAUAAAAAACCCCCGCAAGGACCGAAUGUUCUACAUUCACAACCAAGAGCGACAGCUCUAAUUAACAGAUAUUUCUGACCAAUAAGAUCCGGCAACGCCGAUUAAUGAACCAAGUUACCCUAGGGAUAACAGCGCAAUCUCCUCUUAGAGCCCAUAUCAACGAGGAGGUUUACGACCUCGAUGUUGGAUCAGGACAUCCUAAUGGUGCAGCCGCUAUUAAGGGUUCGUUUGUUCAACGAUUAAAGUCCUACGUGAUCUGA
rnacentral:rRNA from 1 species